GCGUGCCUAAUACAUGCAAGUCGAGCGAACGGACGAGAAGCUUGCUUCUCUGAUGUUAGCGGCGGACGGGUGAGUAACACGUGGAUAACCUACCUAUAAGACUGGGAUAACUUCGGGAAACCGGAGCUAAUACCGGAUAAUAUUUUGAACCGCAUGGUUCAAAAGUGAAAGACGGUCUUGCUGUCACUUAUAGAUGGAUCCGCGCUGCAUUAGCUAGUUGGUAAGGUAACGGCUUACCAAGGCAACGAUGCAUAGCCGACCUGAGAGGGUGAUCGGCCACACUGGAACUGAGACACGGUCCAGACUCCUACGGGAGGCAGCAGUAGGGAAUCUUCCGCAAUGGGCGAAAGCCUGACGGAGCAACGCCGCGUGAGUGAUGAAGGUCUUCGGAUCGUAAAACUCUGUUAUUAGGGAAGAACAUAUGUGUAAGUAACUGUGCACAUCUUGACGGUACCUAAUCAGAAAGCCACGGCUAACUACGUGCCAGCAGCCGCGGUAAUACGUAGGUGGCAAGCGUUAUCCGGAAUUAUUGGGCGUAAAGCGCGCGUAGGCGGUUUUUUAAGUCUGAUGUGAAAGCCCACGGCUCAACCGUGGAGGGUCAUUGGAAACUGGAAAACUUGAGUGCAGAAGAGGAAAGUGGAAUUCCAUGUGUAGCGGUGAAAUGCGCAGAGAUAUGGAGGAACACCAGUGGCGAAGGCGACUUUCUGGUCUGUAACUGACGCUGAUGUGCGAAAGCGUGGGGAUCAAACAGGAUUAGAUACCCUGGUAGUCCACGCCGUAAACGAUGAGUGCUAAGUGUUAGGGGGUUUCCGCCCCUUAGUGCUGCAGCUAACGCAUUAAGCACUCCGCCUGGGGAGUACGACCGCAAGGUUGAAACUCAAAGGAAUUGACGGGGACCCGCACAAGCGGUGGAGCAUGUGGUUUAAUUCGAAGCAACGCGAAGAACCUUACCAAAUCUUGACAUCCUUUGACAACUCUAGAGAUAGAGCCUUCCCCUUCGGGGGACAAAGUGACAGGUGGUGCAUGGUUGUCGUCAGCUCGUGUCGUGAGAUGUUGGGUUAAGUCCCGCAACGAGCGCAACCCUUAAGCUUAGUUGCCAUCAUUAAGUUGGGCACUCUAAGUUGACUGCCGGUGACAAACCGGAGGAAGGUGGGGAUGACGUCAAAUCAUCAUGCCCCUUAUGAUUUGGGCUACACACGUGCUACAAUGGACAAUACAAAGGGCAGCGAAACCGCGAGGUCAAGCAAAUCCCAUAAAGUUGUUCUCAGUUCGGAUUGUAGUCUGCAACUCGACUACAUGAAGCUGGAAUCGCUAGUAAUCGUAGAUCAGCAUGCUACGGUGAAUA
rnacentral:rRNA from 1 species